GCCUUGCUUUUUUCUGUAUGUUUAUGACACUGUAAAAAGAUAAGCUUUAAACGGAGCUUCCCCUUCUGACAUAUUUUUCUGGCCUGCAAAACCUCUUGUGAACCUGAUACAUCAAACCAAACCCACAAAAUAUAUACAAACAUCUUCUAUAUCUAUAUGUACUCAUCAAGUCAUAUGUAUGUUCACAGUAAAAUAUUUGUCAUCAAUGCAAUAGUACAGUAACAACAACUAGCUGGCUCUUUCUAACUUUUCUUUUUCUCUUUCUCUUUAAUUAGCUAUAUACAUUUAUAUAAGUAUAUAUAUAUAUAUAUAUAUUUUCUUUCUGAGAGAAAGGGAAAAAAAAAAAAGAUCUAGCUAGGUAGUACUAUUGGGGGGUGGAAACACAAGGUAUGAAAGAAGAAGAAGAAGAAGAAGAAGAAUAUGGAGGUUGAUGAGAGUUUUCAAACACAAGUUAGUAAGUUUCAAAGAAUCUGUUGCAAUAAUAAUAAUAAUAAUGAAAAAAUAGAUAAUAAUAUUGAUAGUAGUAGUAACAACCAAAUAGGUAUAAUUAGUAAUAAUAAUAAUAGGAAUAAAGUAAGUAGUAGAUAUGAAGCAGCAGCAACAGAUGGGAGGUGGCCAUCAUCAAGAAUUGUUAGGGUUUCAAGAGGUUCUGGUGGUAAAGAUAGGCAUAGCAAAGUGUUGACAUCAAAAGGGUUGCGAGAUCGGCGCGUACGGCUUUCGGUACCGACGGCUAUUCAGUUUUAUGAUUUGCAAGAUCGGUUAGGGUAUGACCAGCCUAGUAAAGCCGUGGAGUGGCUGAUUAAAGCUGCUGAGAGUUCUAUUGCUGAGCUUCCGUCACUCGAUCCGUCUUUUGUCCAUUUCAAUAAUAUCAACAGUAGCAAUAAUAAUGUUGUUGCUUAUGAAAAGAAAUUAUUGGUUGGAGAUGAGGAAUUAAUGUUGUCGAAAUCUUGUAAUAAUAAUAAUAAUUCAAGUAGUGCAUCGGAGGAGACCAGUAAGGGUGGUUCAGGUGGGCUUUGUCUUUCGAGAUCUGAGAAUCGGAUUCGGGCUAGGGAACGAGCUAGAGGGUUAGCCGCGGCUAAAAAAGAUCAAGAUAGUGUUUCGCAAACGACGACUACAACGACUCCUUCAUUUACAGAUCUUCUGACGUCGACGAUGUCUGGUGGAAUUAGAAGAAACAAUGAUAGUUCAAGUACUACUCCUAUGGAUUAUUUUCAAAUGGAACAACAAUUUGGAAACAAUAACAAUUGUAGCCAAUCUCAGCCUCAUUUCUCUUUUUUACAAGAGAAUUUAAGUUAUUCUGGUUACAAUAACAAUAACAAUAAUAGGGGGACCCUUCAGUCCAAUUUAAUGUCUGAUUUGCCUCAUCAUCAUAAUCAUGUUUUCCAGAGGUUUCAACUGCCCAUGGUGGAUAAUAUUGGAUCUACUACUUCUACUUCUUCAAUUUCUCCGUUUUUCCUUGCUCCAAACAUGGGUGGUGCAGCUGGUGGUACUAAUCAAUUUCUGGCAGCCGGUCUUGAGUCGCAGCGACUGCGGCUGUACGGAGGAGAUAGUGGAGGGCACUACUAUGCUGAUCAUCACAAGGAUAAAUCCAAGAGCUAGCUUGCUACAUUUGUCUCCAGCAUAUAUAUGUGGCCGAUCAUAGAAAUCAGGUUUAGAAUCAUAGGUAAACCCAUAUGGUGUCAUAUCGGGUCGUAUUGAAGAUGGUUUAUUGAAGUGUCACACACUCAGUGCCGGUAAUGAGUUUUGAAAGCCCUACGCAAGAUCAGAUGCAAACUUCUGGAGAAAUGAUACUCUUGGGAGAUUCUUCUUUUUAUUCUGCAUAUCUGGAUAUGGAUAAAUGAAGUGGUUGUAACUAAGAACUUCUACAGUUUUUAUUCUUUGAACUACAUCAAACGUGUGCUGAUUAUUUACUUGUCAUUUAUCCCCUCGAGUGGGCACUUUUUUCAUAGUACUAUUAGUAAUAGUAAUACUAUUUCUAAGUCAUGGGAUGAUUUUUGUAUCUUGACAUUAUUCUGUAUACCUCACAUGACCUCUUUUGAACCACAAAAGUUGCAGGA